GACUGAAGUGGAGAAAGGUUCCAUGUGAACAGCACUUGGACAUGGGUUAGCCGAACCUGAUGGAGCCAGAUUCUGCCAAUGAGGCCUUGCCUGCUCCUUGACAGAGAAUGGGGUUAACAUUCCUCAGCCAGGACGUGGAUAAUGCAUGGUGACAUAAGCCAACUUGGCAAUACAGGGGGAAGCCUUUGGAAGCGUUAUCUCUUCUUUUUGAUGGUGUAGUGCCCUGGAAUCAGAUUGUUUGGUGGUAGGGAUUGUUGAUGAGCAGAGCACCUUGUUUGCUGAGGUAUCUCAGUGUGCUUCCAGUGGUCCAUGAAAAGCCUGAGGAAGGACUUAUUCACCCCCCUGGUCGUGCCCACAACCGCAUCAGGUCUCCCAGGUUAGCUGCCUCUGGUCUGUGGAAUGAACUGGGUGAGGGAAGUCGGCAAAUUGGAUCUGGAACUUUGG
rnacentral:rRNA from 1 species